rnacentral:rRNA from 1 species
UACGAAGGGGGCUAGCGUUGCUCGGAAUCACUGGGCGUAAAGCGCACGUAGGCGGCUUUUUAAGUCAGGGGUGAAAUCCUGGAGCUCAACUCCAGAACUGCCUUUGAUACUGAGAAGCUUGAGUCCGGGAGAGGUGAGUGGAACUGCGAGUGUAGAGGUGAAAUUCGUAGAUAUUGGGAAGAACACCGGUGGCGAAGGCGGCUCUCUGGACCGAUACUGACGCUGAGGCGCGAAAGCCAGGGGAGCGAACGGG